rnacentral:rRNA from 1 species
GACGAACGCUGGCGGCGUGCUUAACACAUGCAAGUCGAGCGAUGAAGCACCUUCGGGUGUGAAUUAGCGGCGAACGGGUGAGGAACACGUGAGAAAUCUGCCUUCAACACUGGGAUAACUCCGGGAAACCGGGGCUAAUACCGGAUAUGAAACCUGCGGGCAUCCGCGGGUUUGGAAAGUUUUUCGGUUGAAGAUGAUCUCGCGGCCUAUCAGCUUGUUGGUGAGGUAAUGGCUCACCAAGGCGACGACGGGUAGCCGGCCUGAGAGGCGACCGGCCACACUGGGACUGAGACACGGCCCAGACUCCUACGGGAGGCAGCAGUGGGGAAUAUUGGGGCAAUGGAGGAAACUCUGACCCAGCGACGCCGCGUGCGGGAUGAAGGCCUCGGUGUAAGCACUUCAUGAGAAACAGG